rnacentral:rRNA from 1 species
GACGAACGCUGGCGGCAGGCCUAACACAUGCAAGUCGAACGCUGUAGCAAUACAGAGUGGCAGACGGGUGAGUAACGCGUGGGAACAUGCCCUUCGGUUCGGAAUAACUCAGGGAAACUUGAGCUAAUACCGGAUACGCCCUUAGGGGGAAAGAUUUAUUGCCGAAGGAUUGGCCCGCGUCCGAUUAGCUAGUUGGUGAGGUAAUGGCUCACCAAGGCGACGAUCGGUAGCUGGUCUGAGAGGAUGAUCAGCCACACUGGGACUGAGACACGGCCCAGACUCCUACGGGAGGCAGCAGUGGGGAAUAUUGGACAAUGGGCGCAAGCCUGAUCCAGCCAUGCCGCGUGAGUGAUGAAGGCCCUAGGGUUGUAAAGCUCUUUCGCCAGGGACGAUAAUGACGGUACCUGGAUAAGAAGCCCCGGCUAACUUCGUGCCAGCAGCCGCCGUAAAAC